rnacentral:rRNA from 1 species
AUGAACGCUAGCUACAGGCUUAACACAUGCAAGUCGAGGGGCAGCAUGAACUUAGCUUGCUAAGUUUGAUGGCGACCGGCGCACGGGUGAGUAACACGUAUCCAACCUGCCGAUGACUCGGGGAUAGCCUUUCGAAAGAAAGAUUAAUACCCGAUGGCAUAGUUCUUCCGCAUGGUGGAACUAUUAAAGGAUUUCGGUCAUCGAUGGGGAUGCGUUCCAUUAGGUUGUUGGCGGGGUAACGGCCCACCAAGCCUUCGAUGGAUAGGGGUUCUGAGAGGAAGGUCCCCCACAUUGGAACUGAGACACGGUCCAAACUCCUACGGGAGGCAGCAGUGAGGAAUAUUGGUCAAUGGACGAGAGUCUGAACCAGCCAAGUAGCGUGAAGGAUGACUGCCCUAUGGGUUGUAAACUUCUUUUAUACGGGAAUAAAGUGAGGCACGUGUGCCUUUUUGUAUGUACCGUAUGAAUAAGGAUCGGCUAACUCCGUGCCAGCAGCCGCGGUAAUACGGAGGAUCCGAGCGUUAUCCGGAUUUAUUGGGUUUAAAGGGAGCGUAGGCGGACGCUUAAGUCAGUUGUGAAAGUUUGCGGCUCAACCGUAAAAUUGCAGUUGAUACUGGGUGUCUUGAGUACAGUAGAGGCAGGCGGAAUUCGUGGUGUAGCGGUGAAAUGCUUAGAUAUCACGAAGAACUCCGAUUGCGAAGGCAGCCUGCUGGACUGUAACUGACGCUGAUGCUCGAAAGUGUGGGUAUCAAACAGGAUUAGAUACCCUGGUAGUCCACACAGUAAACGAUGAAUACUCGCUGUUUGCGAUAUACAGUAAGCGGCCAAGCGAAAGCGUUAAGUAUUCCACCUGGGGAGUACGCCGGCAACGGUGAAACUCAAAGGAAUUGACGGGGACCCGCACAAGCGGUGGAGCAUGUGGUUUAAUUCGAUGCAACGCGAAGAACCUUACCUGGUCUUGACAUCCACGGAAGUUUUCAGAGAUGAGAAUGUGCCUUCGGGAACCGUGAGACAGGUGCUGCAUGGCUGUCGUCAGCUCGUGUUGUGAAAUGUUGGGUUAAGUCCCGCAACGAGCGCAACCCUUAUCUUCAGUAGCCAGCAAUUCGGAUGGGCACUCUGGAGAGACUGCCAGGGAUAACCUGGAGGAAGGUGGGGAUGACGUCAAAUCAGCACGGCCCUUACGUCCGGGGCUACACACGUGUUACAAUGGGGGGUACAGAAGGCAGCUACACGGCGACGUGAUGCUAAUCCCGAAAGCCUCUCUCAGUUCGGAUUGGAGUCUGCAACCCGACUCCAUGAAGCUGGAUUCGCUAGUAAUCGCGCAUCAGCCACGGCGCGGUGAAUACGUUCCCGGGCCUUGUACACACCGCCCGUCAAGCCAUGAAAGCCGGGGGUACCUGAAGUGCGUAACCGCAAGGAGCGCCCUAGGGUAAAACUGGUGAUUGGGGCU